GGAAACAUCUGUGCUGUGUCUGCUCUUUCUGAUCUCACUGCUGAGCUGCACAACAAACCAAGGUCAGUAACCUUCUUCUGUCACAGUUUAAACCUGAGAAAUGCUCACUGAUAUGACCUGAUUGGGUUCAUGUAGUCAUGAUGUGUCAGGACCCGAGAUGUGAUGCAGAGGCAAGUUUAACAGAAGGCUAGCACUUUAUUGAGCUGAUAAAAACUACAUGAGGCAAAAUAAAAACUAUCCCUACAAACAAAUGAAAAUAAAUAAAACAGAGGGGCUUUGGCACUGGGGGACAAAGACCAGGAAACUAAAUUCACGCUGAUGAUGCAUCAAAUCAGACAGAGACAAUAUACACACAGAAGGGUGAUUAGGGGACGUAGAAACACAGCAAGAGGAAAUCAUUAAUAUGAGACAAGAGAUUGACAGAGUAAAACAGGAACAAACUAAUACUGAGACUAUGACUUAACAGAGGGACAGAAAAGAACACGGAGAUAAAACACACAGUAGACUAGAAUUAGAGUAGGAUCACAAAAAGAUGAUCUAAACUAAAAUAAAUAUUUCAAAACCAGAAGAGCCAAAAUAUAAACACAGACUGUGAAGGAUUUAAUAAAUGCUACAGGAAACUAUGACUCAUAUCAAUGUUUGAAGAGAGUCAAAUAAUAUAUAAGAGAAUAACAAAAACCCAAAAUUUAGAAAUUACAAACGGAAAACAUGGUGUUUUCAGAAUGGAUUUAAAAUAUAAAACUGAUCAAAAAAUUGUUCUGCAAAGUCACAUUUUAGCAUUCGUAACAGUCUUGACAAAAGUAAACAGAUCAACACAUUUAUUUCAUUUUAACCCUCACAGCUCGUCUGACUGUGAGUCCCAGCAGCUCUCAGUUCUUUGAAUAUGACUCUGUGACUCUGAGCUGUGAGGAGGACGACAGCUCUGCUGGAUGGACUCUGAGGAGAAACAAAAGCAAACAACAGAGGACUCAGUGUGGAGUUGGGUGGGGAGAAACAGCUGGUUUUUCAUGUAAUCUCACAUUCAUGAUGCCUCAUGACAGUGGGGUUUACUGGUGUGAGCCCAGAGAGGGUCCCAUCAGUAACAUGGUUAACCUGACAGUCACUGGUGGAUCAGUGAUCCUGCAGAGUCCUGUCCUCCCUGUGAUGGAGGGAGAUGACGUCA